GAAAUGCGAUAAGUAAUGUGAAUUGCAGAAUUCAGUGAAUCAUCGAAUCUUUGAACGCACAUUGCACCCGCCAGUAUUCUGGCGGGCAUGCCUGUCCGAGCGUCAUUUCAACCAUCAAGCCCCCGGGCUUGUGUUGGGGACCUGCGGCUGCCCGCAGGCCCUGAAAACCAGUGGCGGGCUCGCUGUCACACCGAGCGUAGUAGCAAUCACCUCGCUCAGGGCGUGCUGCGGGUUCCGGCCGUUAAACAGCCUUCGUAACCCAAGGUUGACCUCGGAUCAGGUAGGAAGACCCGCUGAACUUAAGC
rnacentral:misc_RNA from 1 species